CCUACGGGAGGCAGCAGUGGGGAAUAUUGCACAAUGGGGGAAACCCUGAUGCAGCGACGCCGCGUGAGCGAAGAAGGACUUCGGUACGUAAAGCUCUAUCAUCAGGGAAGAUAAUGACGGUACUUGAGUAGGAAGCCCCGGCUAACUACGUGCCAGCAGCCGCGGUAAUACGUAGGGGGCUAGCGUUAUCCGGAUUUACUGGGCGUAAAGGGUGCGUAGAUGGUGUCCUAAGUCAGAGGUGAAAUGCUAAGGCUAAACCGUAGUAUGCCUUUGAAACUGGUGAACUUGAGUGCAGGAGAGGAGAGCGGAAUUCCUAGUGUAGCGGUGAAAUGCGUAGAUAUUAGGAGGAACACCAGUGGCGAAGGCGGCUUACUGGACUGUAACUGACAUUGAGGCACGAAAGCGUGGGGAGCAAACAGGAUUAGAUACCCGGGUAGUC
rnacentral:rRNA from 1 species